UACGUAGGGGGCAAGCGUUGUCCGGAUUUAUUGGGCGUAAAGAGCGUGUAGGCGGCCAAGCAGGUCCGCUGUGAAAACUCGAGGCUCAACCUCGAGACGUCGGUGGAAACCGUUUGGCUAGAGUCCGGAAGAGGAGAGUGGAAUUCCCGGUGUAGCGGUGAAAUGCGCAGAUAUCGGGAAGAACACCCGUGGCGAAGGCGGCUCUCUGGGACGGUACUGACGCUGAGACGCGAAAGCAUGGGGAGCGAACAGG
rnacentral:rRNA from 1 species